GAUGAACGCUGGCGGCGUGCUUAACACAUGCAAGUCGAACGGAAAGGCCACAGCUUGCUGUGGUACUCGAGUGGCGAACGGGUGAGUAACACGUGGGUUAUCUGCCCUGUACUUCGGGAUAAGCUUGGGAAACUGGGUCUAAUACCGGAUAGGAAUCACAUGUGGGUGUGUGGUUGGAAAGCUUUUGCGGUAUGGGAUGAGCUCGCGGCCUAUCAGCUUGUUGGUGGGGUAAUGGCCUACCAAGGCGUCGACGGGUAGCCGGCCUGAGAGGGUGUACGGCCACAUUGGGACUGAGAUACGGCCCAGACUCCUACGGGAGGCAGCAGUGGGGAAUAUUGCACAAUGGGCGCAAGCCUGAUGCAGCGACGCCGCGUGGGGGAUGACGGCCUUCGGGUUGUAAACUCCUUUCGUCAGGGACGAAGCGAAAGUGACGGUACCUGGAUAAGAAGCACCGGCUAACUACGUG
rnacentral:rRNA from 1 species